CUACGGGCCGCAGCAGUGGGGAAUAUUGCACAAUGGGCGCAAGCCUGAUGCAGCCAUGCCGCGUGUAUGAAGAAGGCCUUCGGGUUGUAAAGUACUUUCAGCGGGGAGGAAGGGAGUAAAGUUAAUACCUUUGCUCAUUGACGUUACCCGCAGAAGAAGCACCGGCUAACUCCGUGCCAGCAGCCGCGGUAAUACGGAGGGUGCAAGCGUUAAUCGGAAUGACUGGGCGUAAAGCGCACGCAGGCGGUUUGUUAAGUCAGAUGUGAAAUCCCCGGGCUCAACCGGGGAACUGCAUCUGAUACUGGCAAGCUUGAGUCUCGUAGAGGGGGGUAGAAUUCCAGGUGUAGCGGUGAAAUGCGUAGAGAUCUGGAGGAAUACCGGUGGCGAAGGCGGCCCCCUGGACGAAGACUGACGCUCAGGUGCGAAAGCGUGGGGAGCAAACAGGAUUAGAUACCCUCGUAGUC
rnacentral:rRNA from 1 species